CAAAGAGACACGCACACUCUGAGUUUCUGAGAGUAAGCCACUGUCAGUUCCUGGGGUGAGCCACCAGCCACAUGGACACAAUUUCCUCUUUUUGAUGGAAAUGUUUUCUUCCAAAUUGUGCUGCACGUUUUUGGCGAGAGCAUGGGGCUGUGCGGCGUCCCCUCCCUGGCGCCCACCUGUGCCCUGCACACUGGCCUGCACUGUGGUGAUCUCGCUUGGCCCCCACCUGAUUCCCGACAUACAGCAGAGGAAGCUUAGGCUCAGGUGGAACAGCCUCAACUGAUUCUGUCCCUGAACUUCCGUACACAGCCCUGGAGUCGUCUUAGAGCCAUGAUUUAUUUAACUGUUCUUUCAUUUUACAGAACAUAAAAUGUAUUGUUUCCAACUUUUUUCCUAUGGUAAAUAAUACUAAAGUAAAUAUCUCUGUGCAUGAAUCUUUUUGUAUAUGUUGGAAUAUCCUUAAGAUAAGGCCCCAGAACUAAAAGUACCCUGUCAAAAGGUGAGCAUUUCCGGUUCCCCUGCUGUGCUUUGCUGCGUUGUUCUCUCCUGCUGCAACGUUCUCACUCCACAAUCCUGGGGCAGGGAGGGGAGGCCCAGCUGAGUUUGGAUCAUAAUCCUGAAAGACACAAUCCCAAGCACCAUAAUGUGGAAUGUUGAAAUCCCUAAAGAUCAAAAUCCCUCAAGUCUAAAAUCCCUGAUAUUUCAGAUGACCACAGCUACAGGGCUAGGUGCACACAAUUAGUAACCGUAGCGAUAUACGUGUACACGUUUCUCUUUUGACUUAUUUCUUUAUGGUCUGUCUUCUUAUAACUGCUACACCCAUGCCGCCGUCGUUAGUUACCUCAGUGUUUAUGCAAAAAUACCUGUUAUCAUUGCCUAUUUUAUUGUGUAAAGUGGCCUAUGAAAUGUUCUGUUGUGUUUUUAUGUUUCUCAAAUACAUACCUUUUAAAAAUGUAAAUAAAUAACAUCGACAUUA
rnacentral:lncRNA from 10 species